rnacentral:rRNA from 1 species
CCUACGGGGGGCUGCAGUGGGGAAUAUUGGACAAUGGGCGCAAGCCUGAUCCAGCCAUGCCGCGUGUGUGAAGAAGGCCUUUUGGUUGUAAAGCACUUUAAGCGGGGAGGAGGCAACUUGGGUUAAUACCCCGAUGUUGCGGACGUUACCCGCAGAAUAAGCACCGGCUAACUCUGUGCCAGCAGCCGCGGUAAUACAGAGGGUGCGAGCGUUAAUCGGAAUUACUGGGCGUAAAGCGCGCGUAGGCGGCUUGUUAAGUCGGAUGUGAAAUCCCU